rnacentral:rRNA from 1 species
UAGGGAAUAUUGGACAAUGGGGGCAACCCUGAUCCAGCCAUGCCGCGUGAGUGAAGAAGGCCCUCGGGUUGUAAAGCUCUUUUGUCCGGAAAGAAAAGCAUUCGGAGAAUACCCGGAUGUUCUGACGGUACCGGAAGAAUAAGCACCGGCUAACUUCGUGCCAGCAGCCGCGGUAAUACGAAGGGUGCAAGCGUUACUCGGAAUUACUGGGCGUAAAGCGUGCGUAGGUGGUUGUUUAAGUCUGAUGUGAAAGCCCUGGGCUCAACCUGGGAAUGGCAUUGGAAACUGGGCAGCUAGAGUGCGGUAGAGGGUAGUGGAAUUCCCGGUGUAGCAGUGAAAUGCGUAGAGAUCGGGAGGAACAUCUGUGGCGAAGGCGACUGCCUGGACCAGCACUGACACUGAGGCACGAAAGCGUGGGGAGCAAACA